rnacentral:rRNA from 1 species
GAUGAACGCUGGCGGCGUGCCUAAUACAUGCAAGUCGAGCGAACGGACGAGAAGCUUGCUUUUCUGAUGUUAGCGGCGGACGGGUGAGUAACACGUGGAUAACCUACCUAUAAGACUGGGAUAACUUCGGGAAACCGGAGCUAAUACCGGAUAAUAUUUUGAACCGCAUGGUUCAAAAGUGAAAGACGGUCUUGCUGUCACUUAUAGAUGGAUCCGCGCUGCAUUAGCUAGUUGGUAAGGUAACGGCUUGCCAAGGCAACGAUGCAUAGCCGACCUGAGAGGGUGAUCGGCCACACUGGAACUGAGACACGGUCCAGACUCCUACGGGAGGCAGCAGUAGGGAAUCUUCCGCAAUGGGCGAAAGCCUGACGGAGCAACGCCGCGUGAGUGAUGAAGGUCUUCGGAUCGUAAAACUCUGUUAUUAGGGAAGAACAUAUGUGUAAGUAACUAUGCACAUCUUGACGGUACCUAAUCAGAAAGCCACGGCUAACUACGUG